rnacentral:rRNA from 1 species
CCCCGGCGCCACAAGUGGUUAUCACGAUUAUUGGGCCUAAAGCGUUCGUAGCCGGUUUGGUAAAUCUCUUGUGAAAUUGUUCGGCUUAGCCGGACAGCGUGCAGGAGACACUGCCAGACUCGAGACCGGGAGGGGUUAGAAGUAUUCCAUGGGGACUGGUAAAAUGGGAUAAUCCAUGGAAGACUACCGAUGGCGAAGGCAUCUAACCAGAACGGAUCUGACGGUGAGGAACGAAAGCCAGGGGAGCGAACCGG